CAGGAGUGAUAAGCGUGAACUAGAGAGUGCUGUGCAGGAGGAAGCUGGGGCCGCCGUCGGGCCUUCUCCCUCCAGGGGCCCAAGAGCCACUGGUACUCAGUGUCUGGGUGGGGGCAGGGGGGAUUUUUGUUCUCCCAGCACCUGCGGCUGUUGAGACCAGAGAAGCUGGUGGUCGACCACAGCCUGGGGUAUUAGUUCACCCCUAGCUUCUCCCCAGCGAGACCCCAGGGCCCUUGGGCACAGGGGAUUAAGCCUCUAUCUGCUUACGUGCAAGCGGAAGAAAUAGGCCCAGAGAGCAACAGUGGCGGGUCUGCAGUCACACAGCCAACUUGCGCUUGUGGCAGUGGCAAGGUUGGUGAGUAUCUGAGUCUUCAGGCCACGGCAUUUUCCGCUCGAGUGGAGCCUGAAGUUCUGAGGGUACCCCUCACUCAAGCUCCAGGCGUCAGGAAAAGAACAUUCCACGAAGUCCAUCUGGAAGACGGUCCUUUCCCUGCUGCCCCCAGAUACCAGGUGUUUCUGCCACUACCUUUGCCAGAUAUGUACCCUCUGACACCUGCUUCUCUUGUUGGUGGCUUUUGGACACAAGCCUGAUGCUGCUUCUAGAACAUUCCCUGGAACACAGCAAGUGUUCAGUAUUGUUCAUGGAGUGACAGAUGUCUCAGCCAAGAAGGUACAAUCACAGGGAAGAAUGACUUCAACUGGUCUUGACUUCAACCUGCUUCCAGCCUGGUUCCCUUCUCCCACCUCCCUACAGCCCACAGAAGAUCUUUUCCAAACUGGAAGUCUGUCCAGGUCAUUCUUCUGCUCUAAGGCUUUCAGUAGCUCCCCCUUAUCCCCAGGAGGAAGUCCAAAUGCCUUAACAAGUGUCAAGGAACACUUGGUGAGCCCUGCUUUCCUUGCUAGUCACUCGUGCACAGCUGAGUCUUUCCCCAGAGUGGAUGUCAUUCAUGCUGUUCCCAUUGCCUGGAUUCCUGCUCCUCUCCACCCCAUUCAACUGAUAAACUCGUGGUUUUUUUUUUUUUUUUUUUUUUUUU
rnacentral:lncRNA from 1 species